UACACUCCUGCGGGAGGCAGCAGUGGGGAAUUUUGGCCAAUGGGCGAAAGCCUGAUCCAGCAAUGCCGCGUGAGUGAAGAAGGCCUUCGGGUUGUAAAGCUCUUUUGUCAGGGAAGAAACGGUGAAAGCUAAUAUCUUUUGCUAAUGACGGUACCUGAAGAAUAAGCACCGGCUAACUACGUGCCAGCAGCCGCGGUAAUACGUAGGGUGCAAGCGUUAAUCGGAAUUACUGGGCGUAAAGCGUGCGCAGGCGGUUUUGUAAGUCUGAUGUGAAAUCCCCGGGCUCAACCUGGGAAUUGCAUUGGAGACUGCAAGGCUAGAAUCUGGCAGAGGGGGGUAGAAUUCCACGUGUAGCAGUGAAAUGCGUAGAUAUGUGGAGGAACACCGAUGGCGAAGGCAGCCCCCUGGGUCAAGAUUGACGCUCAUGCACGAAAGCGUGGGGAGCAAACAGGAUUAGAUACCCGUGUAGUCCCAUG
rnacentral:rRNA from 1 species